rnacentral:ncRNA from 19 species
UACUAUGAUGAAUGACAUUACGUGAACAAUCUCUGAUACAAAAUCGAAAGAUUUUAGGAUUAGAAAAACCUAUGUUGCCUUCCUUCUGAAA